rnacentral:rRNA from 1 species
AUGAGGAUCAUCAGCUGGAACUGCCGGGGCCUCGGGCAGCCACGGACAGUUCAAGAGCUAGUGUGCUUAGUGCACACAUACAAGCCCAAGCUCGUGUUCAUUUCCGAAACUCGGCAGAGCAAUAAGUAUGUCAAUAACCUGAGAUGGAGACUAGGUCUCCGGCAUUGUAUCACGCAAACCGGCACUGGGAAAGGUGCCGACAUUGCACUCUAUUAUGAUGAAAGCAUCGAAUGGAGAGCCACAUUUGUGUAUGGUGAACCGAAAGCUCACGAGAGACACCUCAUGUGGACCUUGCUAAGAAGAAUUAAAGAUUCUGCAGAUGUCCUAUGGCUCAUGUUGGGAGACUUCAUGAAACUAUGUGGCAGUCAGAGCACUUCUCUAAAUCAAAACGUUCAGAGAAAUAUAUGGGAAAUUUCAGAAAGGUUCUGUCCGACUGUAACUUAUUUGACCUGGGAUUCAGAGGCCCGACAUGGACGUAUAACAAUAAGCAAGGGGGCAGGGAUAAUGUACGCGCACGCCUGGACAGAGGGGUGGCGACCCCGGAAUGGUCGAACAUGUUCAGGGAGGCAACUGUCGAACAUAUUUGUUCGUCGCGCUCUGACCAUCUCCCGGUGCUGCUGA